UGCCAGCAGCCGCGGUAAUACGUAGGGGGCAAGCGUUGUCCGGAUUUACUGGGCGUAAAGAGCGCGUAGGCGGAAGCUUAAGUGUGGCCUGAAAGCCCCCGGCUCAACCGGGGAAGGUGGCUGCAAACUGGGCUUCUUGAGGGGGAUAGAGGAAAGUGGAAUUCCGGGUGUAGCGGUGAAAUGCGUAGAGAUCCGGAGGAACACCAGUGGCGAAGGCGGCUUUCUGGGUCCGCCCUGACGCUGAGGCGCGAAAGCGUGGGGAGCGAACGGGAUUAGAUACCCCGGUAGUCCACGCCGUAAACGAUGGUCACCAGGUGUGUGCGGUAUCGACCCCGCACGUGCCGUCGCUAACGCUUUAAGUGACCCGCCUGGGGAGUACGGCCGCAAGGUUGAAACUCAAAGGAAUUGACGGGGGCCCGCACAAGCC
rnacentral:rRNA from 1 species